rnacentral:lncRNA from 1 species
AAAAGCAGUAUUUGCUAAAAGACCCUCAGUCUCUAUAAAGAGCACUGUCUUGGGGAUUCCAACCAUAAGUUACCAGCUUUCCUUUGCAGAACUGAGAUGCGAGCUCAACAGCAAAUAAAAAUGACAUAAAAUCAGAACAAAGUUGGAAAAGGACCACCUCCAAAUGCAACGUGUGGUGCUUCUGGGAAACAUGCAGCAGCCUAGAGUGAGGUGAGGGGGACAAAACAGAAAGAAAGAAGAUUAAUGGAGAAAAAAUCAAGCUUGUAACUGCUGUCUCCAGGCUUCACAAGGUGCACUUGUACUUCUAAGCCUAAGAGACAGAGUGACGUUCAGCAUGACUCCAUAAUCCUUUGGCCUUGAGAACCUCAGCAGACAUCAGACAAUGAGAAUACAGUUUCCUCCGAAAAAAUCUUAGGCUGAUCUUGGAAGAAAGACCCCCUGGAUCAUCUAAAAAUAAAGUUUUCUAUUUAAAGAUGAAAAGAAGGAAGCAAAACCAUUAAGUGCCUUCCCCAAGGUCUUAAAAGAAGUCACCAAGAAGGUGGUCUGGCUCAAGUCUCCUGACCCCAGUUUACUAUUCCCCACAAUAAUGUUGGAAAACCACAUUGGAACGGGAAGACUCAUUCCAAGUACUGCUGUCACACCAGCAAGCUUCAAAGAUAUGUUUUGCUGACACACAGAGUCUGGGCAGCAUCCAGCCCCCUGUUUACUCCCUGGUCUUUAAGUCUAGUAAGUAUUUUAUCAUUUACACCUUUCGAUGUCCAAAGAGAGUGCCGCUCGGGGUUUAAAACAUGUAAUUUCCUUUACUACCUCCCCAAAUAACGGGGUCAUUUCAGGACCAGGACAGUUUGGCACUGGGACGUGUUUCCCAGAAGUACUAAUAGUUCGAGAGGGGAGCAAGCGUCUUCACAGCUGCAGGUCUGGGUGCCGAACUUUCUACUGUCG